UUUCAUUUUUUAUGUUUCAUUACCUUUUUUUGUUUCUAUCUCUUUCAUUUACUUUGAAACUGUGUGCCCUCUGUCUCUCACAUUUGGCACUCUCUCAUUUCAUUUGGGUUAUGGUAUUCUGUUGUAGCCAUCAGUACUGUGAUAGGUUUUUCUUCAUUUUCAUGUUUGGCAAACUCAAUCAAUCGUAUGUUCAAGCACCAAGUUAAGAUAUUUUCCUAUUUCUGUAUGCAUGGGUGUUUUGAUUUAUAGGUUUUUUGAGGUAUUAAUCGUUAAUGGAGUAAUUUCCUUUUUUGAUUAGCUAGGGUUUCGGCUUUUAAUCCUUUCUGAACUGUAUAUCAAUUUUUUCUUCUCAAAGACAUUUCAUUUCUAUUGUUAAUCUUUUUCUUAAUCGCUUUUUGACUAUUUUUUUUGUAUAGGGUUUCCAACUUUUUCCACUUUUCAGCGUAUUUUCAAGUAUUUUUGUUAAAGGUAUCCACUUUUCAUGGUUAAUGUUUGUCUUUAUACGUUUUUUGAGGCAUCGGUCUUUAUAAAGGAGUGUUUGUGGCUCUCUGCUUAGUGUCUCUCACAUUUUUUCCUCUCUCAUUUCAUUUGGUCUUUCGUUAAUCUAUCACAACGACUACUACUCUGAUAGUUUUUUUUUUCAUUUCCAUAUUUAUGAAACUGAAUCCAGCGUAUGUUCAAGCACCGGGGUUAGAUUUUUUCCUUCUUUUGUACGCAUGGGUUUUUUUAUUAUAGUUUUUUUAGUGUUUAAUCGUGAAUAGAGUAAUUGUUUUUAGUAUCUAUGUUUUCCACCUUUUUUUAAUAUUUAGGGUUUCCACAUCUUUAGUAUAUAGAUGCAUGUGUGUAUGUUGUUUGAUUCACAGUUCACCAAUUUCAUUCUGUAUUUUCCUUUUAUUUUACGAUUGAGCCUUACAAUGUCUUUUUUAAGAAAAAAAUAUGCAUUCCAUCAAAGAUGUUAAUCUUGGAAAUGAAAAUUGGAUCCUGAUAGCAAGGUUCAUUUGUUUGUGGUUUGUCAGUGACUUGAAGAAAACCAAGUUUUCGUUGUCAAUGGAAAUGGUCAUACAAGAUAAAGAGGUAAAUUGUUUUAUCAUUUGCUUUGUCAUUGUUUUCUUGUGAUAUAAAUUCUGACUAAUCAUGUUUUAUCUCUAUUGUUGUUUUUUAGGGUCAUAUAAUUCAUGUUUCUGUUAGGAGAACACUCCUUUAUAAAUUUCAAAACCAUAUUGUUUGGAAUAAGGUUUAUUGUUUCCAAUUUUUUAGUGUUGCCACUAAUGCAGGAUCUUAUAGAACAACCCCUCACCUGUAUAAAAUUAAUUUUCAGUUUGGAACUAAGGUAACCUAUUUAGGUAAGGAUUUUGUUUCAAGUGCAAGACCUCAACACACCCCAAUGCCUGUGUGAAGAGCCCCUGUUUUUUAUGCUAACUACUUAGUGGGUAAGUUUAGUUAUUAUGGUUUAGUGUUCAAUAUAUUUUUUUUCCAGAUGUUAUUGCAAUGCUCAGAUCAUUAUGCACUUAACGAGUUCUUAAUAGAUCAAAGAAAUCAACUAAGUUAAAUUUCAUCUCCAUUGAAAUGGAGUGUACCUUUUUUUGGAACUAUGUUGAUUACCUGAAUGCAUUUUUGUUACCCGGAGAGUUUCAUAAUGUGGUUAUCACUAUGCAAUAUGCUAAAAUGAUGAUUUUGGAAGGUAUGUGAAGUCAUGAAAUUGUAUUUUAUGUUUUUUAUUUUGGUAUUUUUCUCAUUUUUAUUGUAAGGUAAUGUACUUUUUUUUCACUGUAUACAAGGUUAGUCUUCAAAACUGUAUUAUCAAAAUGUAUGGUUUUGCUGUGGUCACUUUCUCAUUCAUGUCUUUUUAAAUGUCAUGCCUUAUACCGUAUAUAUUUUUGUUUACUUAUUACUUGGGAUGUUAUUGAAGGAUGUUCCUACGACAUUUGUGGAAUACCUUGGCAAAUGGAUGUUCAGAAAGGUGUUUAUACAUGGAUUUCUAUAGGAGGUUGAGUACUAGGUCUUAUCCAAAUCUUUUUCUGGUAGAACUGUGAAACUUGGCAUCGGUUGGAAGCAUUGUUUUGUCUUCAUUAUGUUAGCCUUUUAGGCUAAUUAUUUCCAUCUGGUUGAAAUGAAAACAAUAUUUAUUUUGGUUCAUUUAUUUGAGGAAUGUUCCUUAUUUUCUUAGUCAUUCAGACUAAUAUGUUUGUUGGUUUAUUUCACAACUGUAAAUUUUAUGUUUGUUAGUCGUUCAGGCUAAUGGUUUCUCUUUGGUGGAAACCAGAACAAUUUAAAUUUUUUGUUAAUGUUUAUGUUUAUUUUUUGUUUAUUAUUUACAAUAUGGAUACUUACUGCUUAAAUUUUUUCAUUCCUUAUCUGGCAGAUUCUUAAGUUGUUUGCAUAAAUAAAAAUGCUUAACCCUAAAACAAUUGGCAGUACAUUAAACUUCAUAAAAACAUAUUUGUGAUUUUUUGUUCAUGGCUUAUUUUGUCUUAAUAUUUGGUAAUGGUGUUUCUUAUUAUAUUAUUAAUAUUUAAUCAUGUAUUAGUUGUUUUUGAUUUAGCAGAGAACUGGUGCAUGCAUGUUUACUUCACUCAAUGAAUUUCUAUUCUUUUUAUAUUUCUAUGAAUAUAAAAUAAUAUUCAUUUCUUAUCAUUUGAAUUUAAUGACAAAGGUGGUGGCAGAACUUAAUGUGUUUUUCACCAAAAUCACGUUCCUGUUAAGAAACAUACAUUUUUAUUCAUUCAAUUUGAUGUACUUAAUUUUACUUUUAACAAUAAUUCUUAUUUUAAAAAUUAUUUAUUUGACAUUUGACAUUGCAAGAAGUACUACAAGAUAUAUUAAUCCCACAUAAGACUAUGUAGUUGCUGGCCAGGACACCAAUAUAAUUCUAUAAUUUUUAUUGUAAUGUCCACUUUGUGGACAACAUUUAUCAUGUUUACUGUUCUUUAGUUAUGAAAUUUUGAGUACUUACAUUCUAAACUUAUGUAAUUUCAUGUUAUUUGUUAUUAUGGAAUAUAUUAUGUCG
rnacentral:lncRNA from 1 species